AUGAUACAACUUUCUGGAUGGUGUGUAGUCUGUCAACAUGUGAAACCCAUGUGUAUUUCGGGGAGUAGUUUCCCCUGUUUAAGAUCAAUAAUGGCUGCAGAUAUACAAUGCGGUAUGCUGUCUGGUCAUCAACAGAGAGUUUUGACGCCCAUAUUUCUACCAAACACCUUUGUUUUGUUCAUCAGACAGGAGUAGUCUCCCCUGUUUAAGAUCAAUAAUGGCAAAUAUACAAUGUGGUAUGCUGUCUGGUCAUUAACAGAGAGUUUUGACACCUGUCGUAUCUCUACCAAUCACCUCUGUAACCUUUGUUGGGUUCAUCAGACAGUUUUAAGAUUUGGUGACUGCAUGUACCGAGUAGCUAGGGAAUUAAGCUGAAUUCACGUUGGUUUGCUUGACAUUACCAAGGACAAGGCUUUGCGUCUCAAUAUGAGUGAAAAAUUCUCGAAAGGAAUGUUAAACAACAAAUGAAGAAAAAAACAACAACCAAGGACAAGGACC